rnacentral:rRNA from 1 species
CAGCUUUUCGGUUGGACUCUCUGGGGAGACCCCCGGUCAAAGCGGGAGGAAGGUGGGGAGGACGUCAAAUCAUCAUGCCCCUUAUGUCCUGGGCUACACACCUGUUACAAUGGCUGGUACAAAGGGCAGCGAACCCGGGAGGGGGAGCCAAUCCCAAAAAGCCGGUCUCAGUUCGGAUCGCAGGCUGCAAUUCGCCUGCG